rnacentral:rRNA from 1 species
AAGCAUAUCAAUAAGCGGAGGAAAAGAAACCAACAGGGAUUGCCCCAGUAACUGCGAGUGAAGCGGCAAAAGCUCAAAUUUGAAAUCUGGCGCCUUUGGCGUCCGAGUUGUAAUUUGGAGAGACAUCUUCGGGGAUGGCAUACUGUCCUAAGUUCCUUGGAACAGGACGUCACAGAGGGUGAGAAUCCCGUGCCUGGAUGGUUGUCCAUCCCCAUUGUGAAGGGUCUUCGACGAGUCGAGUUGUUUGGGAAUGCAGCUCAAAAUGGGUGGUAAACGUCAUCUAAAGCUAAAUAUUGGCGAGAGACCGAUAGCGCACAAGUAGAGUGAUCGAAAGAUGAAAAGCACUUUGAAAAGAGAGUAAAAUAGUACGUGAAAUUGUUGAAAGGGAAGCGCUUGAGACCAGACACGGUCCGUGGUAAUCGCCCGCGCUUCGGUGCAGGUGCUCUUACCAUGACCGGUGCCAGCAUCGGUUCUGGCGGUGGGAUAAAAGGCAGGGGAAUGUAGCUUCCUCACUGGGAGUGUUAGAGCCCCUGUCACAAUGCCACCAGUCGGGACCGAGGACUGCGCUUCAGCUAGGA